rnacentral:rRNA from 1 species
CAGCCGCCGCGGUAAUACGUAGGUGGCAAGCGUUGUCCGGAAUUAUUGGGCGUAAAGGGCUCGCAGGCGGUUUCUUAAGUCUGAUGUGAAAGCCCCCGGCUCAACCGGGGAGGGUCAUUGGAAACUGGGAAAUUUGAGUGCAGAAGAGGAGAGUGGAAUUCCACGUGUAGCGGUGAAAUGCGUAGAGAUGUGGAGGAACACCAGUGGCGAAGGCGACUCUCUGGUCUGUAACUGACGCUGAGGAGCGAAAGCGUGGGGAGCGAACAGGAUUAGAUACCCGCGUAGUCCCUGUCUCUUAUAC